UGCUUCUAUGACGUUAGCGGCGGACGGGUGAGUAACACGUGGGCAACCUGCCUGUAAGACUGGGAUAACUUCGGGAAACCGAAGCUAAUACCGGAUAGGAUCUUCUCCUUCAUGGGAGAUGAUUGAAAGAUGGUUUCGGCUAUCACUUACAGAUGGGCCCGCGGUGCAUUAGCUAGUUGGUGAGGUAACGGCUCACCAAGGCAACGAUGCAUAGCCGACCUGAGAGGGUGAUCGGCCACACUGGGACUGAGACACGGCCCAGACUCCUACGGGAGGCAGCAGUAGGGAAUCUUCCGCAAUGGACGAAAGUCUGACGGAGCAACGCCGCGUGAGUGAUGAAGGCUUUCGGGUCGUAAAACUCUGUUGUUAGGGAAGAACAAGUACAAGAGUAACUGCUUGUACCUUGACGGUACCUAACCAGAAAGCCACGGCUAACUACGUGCCAGCAGCCGCGGUAAUACGUAGGUGGCAAGCGUUAUCCGGAAUUAUUGGGCGUAAAGCGCGCGCAGGCGGUUUCUUAAGUCUGAUGUGAAAGCCCACGGCUCAACCGUGGAGGGUCAUUGGAAACUGGGGAACUUGAGUGCAGAAGAGAAAAGCGGAAUUCCACGUGUAGCGGUGAAAUGCGUAGAGAUGUGGAGGAACACCAGUGGCGAAGGCGGCUUU
rnacentral:rRNA from 2 species